GAUGAAGAACGUAGCGAAAUGCGAUAAGUAAUGUGAAUUGCAGAAUUCAGUGAAUCAUCGAGUUUUUGAACGCAUAUUGCGCCCUCUGGUAUUCCGGGGGGCAUGCCUGUUCGAGCGUCAUUAAAUAACCCUCAAGCAUAGCUUGGUGUUGGGCUUUUUUACGUCCUUGACUGGGAUGGGCCUAAAAAUUAGUGGCGAUGGCUUUUUUACUUUCAAGCGUAGUAAAUCUCGUCUUGCUAAAGAGGAAAAAGAUUUUUUUUCUGCCAAAAAUUUUAACAUUUAAAGUUGACCUCGGAUCAGGUAGGAUUACCCGCUGAACUUAAGCAUAUCAAUAAGCGGAGGGA
rnacentral:misc_RNA from 1 species